AAUGAUAGCGUCAAUGAGGAUUCAAUAAUAAUCCUAUGUGAUGAACCAGCUAGUGAAAUUGACUGUGGAAUUUGACCAAAAAAGGUGGAGUUCAAGCAGGCCUCAAAAGACAAGAAACAUGACCACAAGGCUAUAAGAAUGUGUGAUCACAUCAGAUUAUUUGGUAAAUGAUAAAGGUGAACUGAUACAUUAUGAUUUCUAUGCAUACACUAAGGCAGUCAAUGUAAUCGAGGCAUUGAAGUAAUCGAAAUGGAUGUAAGUU
rnacentral:lncRNA from 1 species